UACGUAGGGACCAAGCGUUGUUCGGAUUUACUGGGCGUAAAGGGCGCGUAGGCGGCGUGGUAAGUCACUUGUGAAAUCUCUGAGCUUAACUCAGAACGGCCAAGUGAUACUGCUGUGCUAGAGUGCAGAAGGGGCAAUCGGAAUUCUUGGUGUAGCGGUGAAAUGCGUAGAUAUCAAGAGGAACACCUGAGGUGAAAACGGGUUGCUGGGCUGACACUGACGCUGAGGCGCGAAAGCCAGGGGAGCAAACGGG
rnacentral:rRNA from 1 species